rnacentral:piRNA from 1 species
UCCCAUUCAGUCACCGUUCACUUUCAGCAA